rnacentral:rRNA from 1 species
UGCAAGUCGAACGGCAGCACGGGUGCUUGCACCUGGUGGCGAGUGGCGAACGGGUGAGUAAUACAUCGGAACAUGUCCUGUAGUGGGGGAUAGCCCGGCGAAAGCCGGAUUAAUACCGCAUACGAUCUAGGGAUGAAAGCGGGGGACCUUCGGGCCUCGCGCUAUAGGGUUGGCCGAUGGCUGAUUAGCUAGUUGGUGGGGUAAAGGCCUACCAAGGCGACGAUCAGUAGCUGGUCUGAGAGGACGACCAGCCACACUGGGACUGAGACACGGCCCAGACUCCUACGGGAGGCAGCAGUGGGGAAUUUUGGACAAUGGGCGAAAGCCUGAUCCAGCAAUGCCGCGUGUGUGAAGAAGGCCUUCGGGUUGUAAAGCACUUUUGUCCGGAAAGAAAUCCUUGGCUCUAAUACAGUCGGGGGAUGACGGUACCGGAAGAAUAAGCACCGGCUAACUACGUGCCAGCA